UGAGGUCACUGUUUGCCCCUCGUCCACCAAGCGGAUGCCCCUUACCCGGUUUACACAAUUUCCUUAGCUUGGUGGAGGCCUGAGAGCUACACUAUGCUGUUGUGCCGUGCCUAAAAGGGGGGUUUCGGAGCCGUUUCUACUCCCAUCACCAGCCUGCUGGUCGCGGGGACGGCAGGGACUGGACUGGCUCGCCCUUACCUUGGCUCAAUUCAGGCACUCAUGACUGAGGGCAUGACCCUUGUCCACCACUGGCGUCUGGGUCCAUUCCCGACUCUCAAUGGGGGCGGCUUCAAGAUGGCGGGCCACUCGCCUUGCCUAGCCCGGGACACCGGCCUUCAGCUGUCUCGCGCCCUCACCUGUGCCGUGGAAAGGUUAAGUACCGAAUGAAUCACUAAUGAACGCCGGCUAGGGCUAUCUCUCACUCCCAGACACUCAGGACUCUAGCGAGCGGUGAGCUUACCUGUGCCGUGGAAAGGUUAAGUCCCGAAUGAAUCUCGUCAGGCCGAGCGGUUAACUCGUGACCUUUCCCCUGACGUGGCCACCUCAAGGUUCCAACACUUUUCCUUCUCGCCUUUCAGCUUGGUACAUUAAUAUAUCCUUCUUCUGCCUUUCUGAGGUUGUCUUUUUGUAUGUUAAUUCUAAACUUAAUGUCCCCUUAAUUUCUAAGUCCUAACGUAUAAAUAUAUAUAUAAAAAUAUAGGGAUUCGGCUGGAUUUAUAUCAGGGGUGCCAACCCAAGCAAGCUUUCUCGCCCUCCUCCCUUAUCUACUUAUGACAUAUUAACCUCUACGGGUAUUGUUUCGGCUGAGGAGAAACUGGAUCCGGUAAAUAAUCAUGGCCAUGUACAAGGGAUUAUUCCCAAUUUUCCCAGUUGGCUUUUAACUGGCUUCUGCGGUGUUGGUAUGCCGGCAGGUAUGUUACAAUAGUGUCACCUCCCUUAAGAUCCUAGUUUCUCCCGAAGCCUAACACCUUCCUUCCCAAAGGCACUAUGUUGUUAUACUUUGGAUAUCAUUACUCAACCAUCUCUACCCUCCUUCUCCUAUCAGGCGUCCGUGUGGCACAGAGACAGCGACUUAGCACUGCUCCAUGAUUUCAACAAUACAACGCCUACCCUAACACGGUAGUACCAUAAUACAACAAGGGCCUGCCCAACCUAACGGCUACCCUGGGGCUUACUUCCUACGGGUAUUCUAUACUAGAAUCCCGUUUCCUGCUUAAACAAAAGCAAAGAUGCCUCACCUGGCAUGGCUCGAUUAUCUGUCAUGGGUCCACUGCCCCAGCCUUCCUCUUAGUAACCUGGCUACAGGUAAGGAGUGUCAGACGAGACUAGCCUCCCUCGCUCUCGUUCCUAAGGUUAAACACAGUGCACCCUUGACCUUACAUAACCAACAAAAAUUGUAACAAAAUACACUUACAAAUCAAAACACAAAAUAUAAAUAAUCCUCACAUAUACAAAAACAAAACAUAAAUAUGUUCAUACACCCACUGACAUUUUCGCCAUCCGUUUCCGCAGCAAGGCGUGCAUAAGUUUAGUUCAGCGCCUAGGAAGUCCUGAAGUGAAUGUCCCCGUACCAGAUUGGGUAGACUGUAAGCUGCGUGCUGCUGCACGACUUAUAAUUAAAGCAGUAGAUUUCAUGACAUUAAUAAAUCGAGGCGGACGGAAGUUUCACCCUAACACAAAUGUCACAUUCGUGGAUACACUACCACUAGUGAACUAUUACUCUUUCUCCGGGAGCUUCGGCUUCACCCUUGCCUAACCCCGGUUCAUUCCAAAACAUCUACAUGUGCCCAGGUUUGCCUGACGUUGAUGUAGGUGGUUGAGAAUAUUAUCUUUCAUUACUUACAAUACAAUAGAUACCAUAUAACACUAGAUACCUUAGGGCGAACGAUACUAUUCUUCCAAAACAUCCUGUUCAUUUUUAUGGCUAAGAAAGGGGGAAGUAUAAUCACAUGAAUCUUGGAGGGAAACGCAUUGGGGAAGUUAAUGAAUAUGGGCUCGAUCCCACUUUACCAUCAGUCCCCGGGGACGUUAGGGUAAUUCAUUACCGUCUCCAAAGGUGUUUUCCUUACCGCAAUUACUUAACACUCCCUUUCUUUACCACUUACAACCCAUAACAUAAAACAUUAGUUACAUCCUUAUCUUUCUUUCCAGCAAUCCUACCUCUUACAGCUUAGGUUAACAUCAAACUCCCUCAACACACUUCAAUGUAUCUACGUGGCGGGCUGCGGACUCUAGGGGGUGAUGGUUCUUCCUCUUCUUCCUCCUCAGGAAGAUUUAUCUCCUGUGCCCCCACUAACCACUCUUCCGUCCCAUUGUACGGUUUUACCUUUUCUGCGGCCCUCUGAAUCUCCUGUCCAGUAAACACAUUGGUCAACACGUAUGCACCACCAUUUCUCAUAACUUCCACAACCCACUAGUGCAUGGUUGUGUUACUUCCACUCUAACCCACACAAGGGUACCUGCUUCCACCUUUUGGUUUUUAAGCGUUCUAUUCGCGACUGCUCUGUAUCUGCGAGUCAUUUUCUGGUGAGUUUCUUUGAUUAUCUCGUGGGCUUCACGGAUACCUUCCUCACUCGCUUCCGUGUCCGGUAAAUCACUACUUAUCAAGCGAGGGGGGGGGUCGUGAAAAGAACGCAUAAUAAGGGGAGACACCGGUGGUUGUGUGUACGGCUGUGUUCAAUAUGGAUUGACACUGUAACAAUAGUUUUGGCCACCUUAACGGGUACCCUUGACAUAGACAGGCUAACACACUUUUCAUGGUGCGGUGCAUACGUUCCGUAAUACUGUUUCCUUGAGGGUGAUGGUACGGGGUCGUCAGAGCGGCCGUGAUUUUAUAUCUGCCACACAGGUCUCGAAAACUUUGCGCGGUAAACUCUUUCCCAUUAUCCGUUAACACUGUUUUUGGCGUUCCGAAAUCACAAAUAUUGCACAUUUCACAUGUCAAAGAGACUGCUCCGUAAUUUAGUGGUUCAAUUUUAUCUCCACUUCCAUAAAUUGGUACAAUGUGCGCUCCUUUCCAUUCUAAGGGCAGUUUUUCCGUAUUUAUAGAGCAUGUUAUUAUGUCAUAAAGUGGUUCCAAUAAUUUAAUUAUACACCCUUUUAGCACUUGUCCCGAGAUUCCAUCUGGUCCCAUCUUAGUAUGUUCUUAGUAUAUAUUUAUAUUAUUCAAGUAUAUAUUUAUAUUAUUCAAAUAGACAUGUUUCGGUAUAUCCAGGACUUUCUACAUUAUCAGUCUGUUAUUUGCUAUAACAUGGCUCUGAGGAGAAGGUCACUCUACCAAAUGAGCCUGUACACUUACUUUAACAUUGUUUGCUCAUUGGCUGAUAUUAUAUAUCGACCAAGAAUUGGCAGACAAGGUAUGUGGAUUAGCUGCACAUACAUUUUUUUUAAAACAAAAUAUCCAAUGAAAUGCCUAUAUAUAUAAUAAUUGCUCAUGCCAACAGGUGGAGGACCCCCUAGAGAGGAGUUCUCCCAAGUUGAGGAGGCCCUGCUCGACCUUCUUUCUCCCACAGGGUAUGCAAGUCUGCCCAUUCCUGACAGCGAAGGUGGUUCUUUUAAUGCAGCUGGUGCUACACAGUGCCUUCCCUCCCAGGCUCUGGGUCCUGCUCAAGAAGGUACCCAUCCCUCCACAAGUGGUACACCGCAGGGAGAGUUUACUGUCAUGGUGAUUGAAGGCAAGGAGCGGAGAAUCCCAAUAAUAUCUGAUAGCAGCCUUGAGUCAAGGUUCCAUGGAGGAGAUUAAGGUGGCACCUCAGCUUCUUAAUGUAAAUGAAGUACGGGACCUUAUUUCCGACCUUGUGGGGACUCGAAGAG